CGGCGGCCUGGCGGACGGCGGGGUGGCGGGUGAGGGUCGCCUCGAUCUCGCCGAGUUCGAUGCGCAGGCCGCGGA
rnacentral:tRNA from 5 species